rnacentral:rRNA from 1 species
GACGUAGGGCGCGAGCGUUGUCCGGAUUUAUUGGGCGUAAAGAGCGUGUAGGCGGCCAUGCAGGUCCGUUGUGAAAACUCGAGGCUCAACCUCGAGACGCCGAUGGAAACCGUAUGGCUAGAGUCCGGAAGAGGAGAGCGGAAUUCCUGGUGUAGCGGUGAAAUGCGCAGAUAUCAGGAGGAACACCGGUGGCGAAGGCGGCUCUCUGGGACGGUACUGACGCUGAGACGCGAAGCCGUGGGACGCGAAGGCAGGAUAGAACCCGUAGCC